rnacentral:tRNA from 2 species
GGAAGGUUGGCUGAGUGGCUAAAGGCGCUAGUUUCGAAAACUAGUGGGAGCAAUCCCUCACAGGUUCGAAUCCUGUACCUUCCG